UACGUAGGUCGCAAGCGUUGUCCGGAUUUACUGGGCGUAAAGAGCGCGCAGGCGGCUGGUCAAGUCCGAUGUGAAAUCUCCCGGCUCAACUGGGAAACUGCAUCGGAAACUGAUCGGCUUGAAGAUGGGAGAGGGUAGUGGAAUUCCCGGUGUAGCGGUGAAAUGCGCAGAUAUCGGGAAGAACACCUAUGGCGAAGGCAGCUCUCUGGGACGGUACUGACGCUGAGACGCGAAAGCGUGGGGAGCGAACAGG
rnacentral:rRNA from 1 species